rnacentral:sRNA from 1 species
UACCCAAGAAACAGCCACAGAUCAAAACACCAUAAAAUGAGUUAUUUAAAACAGGGAACAAUUUUGUGGCCAUAUUGAAAUACAAAUGCCCCAAUGACCUUCCAAAGAGUGGCUUCCCUCCAUGGCUCCUUGGAAGAGAGUGCCUUGUGGAAAAAUCCUAGGGAAACGGGACUAUCGACUAGUUCUGUCUGUAGUGUCUCCUACCCUCUCAUCACGGGCAGGAUCCCUUGCCAGGCUGUCUGCUGGGGAGGGCUCCAUGCACACUUGAUUCUUAAACAGUUGCUUCCCCUUGUGCAGAAUAAUAUAUAAACAGUUUCGAAAAGCUCUAGUCCACUCUGGGGCAGACUUAAUAAGAGGUUGCAUUUCAGGAUCUGAACGGACUGGACUGAGGGUCGUUUCAUGAAGAUUGCCCUUGAGAACAUCGGAGGGAAGUAUGGAAUUGAUUAAUAUGCCUGCCGCGGAUGCGGAACUGGGAGUGGUUGCACACUUGCUGUUUGCCCCUGCGCUCAUCCCACUCCCUCUUCUCUGCCCCCGAUUGUCUGUUGUCUUUCCCUAGCUCCUCUUAAUGAAUCAUCACAAUGGAAAGACAAAUGGUCUCUAUCAAAAUAGCAUACUGUCCACAGUAGGUGUACACUUCAUAUUUGUCUAGGAGUCAGUGACUAAUUUCCAAAGGGAAGUGCUGUUUGUGCGAAGCUCACUCUUGUCGCUUUAAGCCUUGCUACAACCCCCUCCAUUCGCUCCAGAUGAAAACGAUCUUCGAAAACAAUCCCAUUUCCUCCUAGCACGUGGAGAAGGUUGAGAAGGAGAAUUUAUGAACACUGCGAGAGGGAGCAUCCGAGGUGAUCCGAUGAAAGCAGGAGGUCACUUUCUGAUUUAGAAGAAAACUGGUUAAGAUUUAGGGGACACGAUGUGGGAAGGCGGUGACGUUAGCAAGAAAAGAACAAGAUGAGGAAAUGGUACCCAUUAAGCAUUGCUACUCACAACCCACCCGCAAAAGAAGUAGCUUAAAAUAACACCCAUUUUCUUGGCUUUCCCCACUGGGGCUUGAAUGUGGUUCCCUCGAUCUGAGGCAGGGCCGGGUUCAUCUUGGCUAGACUCCCUCAAGCCUCACAGUGAGAUGCUGGGUCAGCUGGAGGCUGGUUCAUCUCAAAUGGCCUCAAGUCAAGCCAGCUCCUCUUUGUCCUCAUGGCCUGCAGUUCCUCAGGAAGCCAGCCCAGCUUGUUCCCAUGGCAACAAGGGAGGAUUCCUAGAAAGAGAGGACUCUGCAUGUUCCUUGGUGCUCUGUACAUGAACUACAUGAAGAGGAACAACCUGAAUUAUGUGAUUCGGUCCCAGGCGGGAGUCACGGAAAUUACAGGACAGUCCUCUGAGGGACGGCUGCAUGGACGAUACUAAGCUCAUAGGACUGUGAAGUUAACCCAUUAAAGGGGAAACCUUAGGAAGUUAACUUCUGUCUUCGAAGCGACAGGCAUUAGCUGCUUCUGAGAUACACUGAAUGGGGCUGACCUAUGUAGCCAACUCUAAGAAGCUAUGGCACGUGACGUCCAAGGCAAGGGAAACAUCUAUAUCUCAAAGAGGAGUUAGGAAAAUACUCCAUGGAUUCUUUCACCACAGGGAACGCAGAACCCUAAAAAGCAAAGCAUAAUUUCGAGAAGACAUCUCGUCCAGGCCAAUGGAUAACUUUUUGUUCCCCGUAACGGGGAGGGCUCUUCACGGAGAGAGACAGUAAGGUCAUUAUUCAUGCUGUAAGCCAGCCCACUUCAACUGCUGGUCUUCACAAUGCCUACAAGUGUGAAAAAAAAAAGAAUACAAAAAACCCACUUGCUUCCUUUUUCAUGAGUAUUGACAUUCUUGUGCAGUAUUAGGAGAGCUAAUUUAGCUUCCAGUUCUAAGAAUUUUUGAAUCUAUAGCCAGUAAUUAUUGGCAUUCAGAGGUACAAAAGAAGAAAACAAAGCCUGCAAAUUCUAGCACAUUCAUGUGGGAUUGGGAGCUGAAUUAGGAUCCUCACACCCCAUUGAAUGAUCAGCCCCCCUAUUAGAGCCUUAUUAAAAUGGUAAUGAUUAUAUGCCAGCUAUAGGCAGGCAGCCGCACCUGUCAAAAACUACCCGAUUAUCCUGUUCAUUGAACUGUCUGGCUCUUGAAUCAGUGUCUCAGGUUUACUCCUCUGAAGUUUUUUUGUUUUUUUGUUUUGUUUUUUCCUGCUCCCCGUCUUAAAUAAAAAUUUA